GCCGGUCAAGAGGAGACUGAAACCGCAAUGAUAUCAGCCUCAGCGUUGACGAAGAUGCUUGCUGAGACCCAGCUGGCAUCAGCACAGUCAUACUCAGCCAGCUGGACUUUGUCUCAAGAGGACACCAGAAGGACGGACGACCAGAUGCAGACAUUUUCUCUCCUUUAAAAAAAGUUUCCAGAGUUGAGGGUGAUGGUGCACACCUGUAAACCUGGCACUCAGGAGGUUGGGACAGAGGGAUCAAGAGUUCAAGGCCAGCCUAUGCAACAUAACAUGACCCUGUUUCAAGUCAUAA
rnacentral:lncRNA from 1 species